rnacentral:lncRNA from 10 species
CCCCAUUUCUACAAAAAGAAAGUUUAAAAAAAUGAGACUCUCUUUGUGUAUUUUUUUGCUAAAUUAAUAGUACUUAAUUUCCUUUAAAAUUGUUGGUUCUUAAUUUUCUUUAAGAUUGUUGGUUCUUUUUGAUAUUUUAUUUCUACUCUAUCACUCCAGGAUAUCUGAGGUCUAAUGGUUAACCAUUUUUUUAUUGUUGGGUUAAGUCAAUCGAUAUCUCUUAGU